rnacentral:rRNA from 1 species
UACGAAGGGGGCUAGCGUUGCUCGGAAUCACUGGGCGUAAAGCGCACGUAGGCGGAUCUUUAAGUCAGGGGUGAAAUCCUGGAGCUCAACUCCAGAACUGCCUUUGAUACUGGGGAUCUCGAGUCUGGGAGAGGUGAGUGGAACUGCGAGUGUAGAGGUGAAAUUCGUAGAUAUUCGGAGGAACACCAGUGGCGAAGGCGGCUCACUGGUCCAUUACUGACGCUGAGGUGCGAAAGCGUGGGGAGCAAACAGG